UAUGGCUCAGAUUGAACGCUGGCGGCAGGCCUAACACAUGCAAGUCGAGCGGAUGACGGGAGCUUGCUCCUUGAUUCAGCGGCGGACGGGUGAGUAAUGCCUAGGAAUCUGCCUGGUAGUGGGGGACAACGUUUCGAAAGGAACGCUAAUACCGCAUACGUCCUACGGGAGAAAGCAGGGGACCUUCGGGCCUUGCGCUAUCAGAUGAGCCUAGGUCGGAUUAGCUAGUUGGUGGGGUAAUGGCUCACCAAGGCGACGAUCCGUAACUGGUCUGAGAGGAUGAUCAGUCACACUGGAACUGAGACACGGUCCAGACUCCUACGGGAGGCAGCAGUGGGGAAUAUUGGACAAUGGGCGAAAGCCUGAUCCAGCCAUGCCGCGUGUGUGAAGAAGGUCUUCGGAUUGUAAAGCACUUUAAGUUGGGAGGAAGGGCAGUAAGYUAAUACCUUGCUGUUUUGACGUUACCGACAGAAUAAGCACCGGCUAACUCUGUGCCAGCAGCCGCGGUAAUACAGAGGGUGCAAGCGUUAAUCGGAAUUACUGGGCGUAAAGCGCGCGUAGGUGGUUUGUUAAGUUGGAUGUGAAAGCCCCGGGCUCAACCUGGGAACUGCAUCCAAAACUGGCAAGCUAGAGUACGGUAGAGGGUGGUGGAAUUUCCUGUGUAGCGGUGAAAUGCGUAGAUAUAGGAAGGAACACCAGUGGCGAAGGCGACCACCUGGACUGAUACUGACACU
rnacentral:rRNA from 3 species